rnacentral:tRNA from 1 species
GCCGAGUUACUCAAGCGGUCAACGAGGGCAGACUGUAAAUCUGCUGCCAUUUGGCUACGCAGGUUCGAAUCCUGCACUCGGCA